rnacentral:lncRNA from 1 species
AAAAUUAUUGCUUGUCUUUGUUAUUAACUAUACAGUUUAAUGUUUAUUUAUAUUUAUAAUUAUUCUCUUUAGAAACAGUUUUUUAGGAUCUUUUUGCCUGAAUUUUUUUGAAUUUUUGUUUCUUUGUUUACUUAAUAAAUAUCUUUAUUAAUUUCUGUAGUUUAGAAAUACAAUAAACGAAUGUGAUCAGGUUUAGUUAGUCUCUGAAGCGUUUUGUAGUCAAAUCUGAACAUUGGAACGAGACACAGUGUAAUGACGUCACAACAGCUCUCAAAACGUUUCCUCGAUACAUUUUUUUGUCUAUUUUGAUUUUCUUUUUUUAUUAUCUCCUGAAUUGAAACUGUUUAAAAAAUAUUGGAAGCUUUAUGAAUCAUAUUGAGGUUCAGUUCAGCAAGUUUAUACGUUUCUUUUUAAAUAAAGUAUCUGCACGUGACCCGGAAGUAAACAGCACGAGGCGCUAGCAGCGUUAGCUUGUUAGCAGGCUAGCAGCGUUAGCUUGUGUUGAGAGGUCGGUGGUGUUUUGUUGGGGCGUUUGUGAGGUUUUUGGACAGAAAGGACGAUACGUGCAGAUGAUCGAUCGGAGCUGCAGUGAAGAGGACGGCGGUGUUUGUGGGAGUUGGAGCUGAAGAUCGGAGCAGGAACCAUGUCUUCAGAACCUCAGGAAGGUUCUGUCAGAGAACAACUUUCUGCUGCUGAAGGAACCAUCGUCCAGAACGAGGAGCAGCUCUGUCGUCAGCGCAGACUGCUGGAUAGCAGCUGGAACCCGCAGCUUCAGCUACACAUAGUUGUCCUCCCCCAGCAUUGGAUGACCGAAGAGGAGGAUCUCUGCAACCAGCAGAGGAACUUCAAAGUGGAACAGGAGGAACCAGAAUCUCCACAAAUUAAAGAGGAACUGGAGGAACCAGAACCUUUACAGAUGAAAGAGGAACUGGAGGAACCAGAACCUCCACAGAUGAAAGAGGAACAGGAGGAACCAGAAUCUCCACAANNNNNNNNNNAUUAAAGAGGAACUGGAGGAACCAGAACCUUUACAGAUUAAAGAGGAACUGGAGGAACCAGAACCUUUACAGAUUAAAGAGGAACUGGAGGAACCAGAACCUCCACAGAUUAAAGUGGAACAGAGUCAACCAGAACCUCCACAGAUUAUAGAGGAACUGGAGGAACCAGAACCUCCACAGAUUAAAGAAGAACUGCAGAGCUUCAAUGUAACUGAUAGUCAGGAUGAAGAAGGAAACCAACAUGAAGAAUCCACAUCAACUACAGAUGAAGAGACAGAAUCAACAUCAACUACAGAUGAAGAGACAGACCCACAGAACAGAGAUCAGAGGAAGAGAAGAGGUAGAAGUCAUGUCC